rnacentral:rRNA from 1 species
GGACGCGAUCAUACCAGCACUAAUGCAUCGGAUCCCAUCAGAACUCUGCAGUGAAGCAUACCUGAGCGAGAGUAGUACUAGGAUGGGUGACCUCCUGGGACUUCCUCGUGUUGCACCCC